CUGCGAAUGGCUCGUAUAUCAGUUAUAGUUUAUUUGCAGAAGAAUACUAAUUGGAUAACCGUAGUAAUUCUGAGCUAAUACAUGUAUAAAGUCUUGUAGACUGCAUUUAUUAGAAUGAAAACCAUAGGUUUCGGCCUAUUCGUGAGUAAUAAUAACUAAUCAUAUCGUAUGCUUACGUAACGAUGUGUCUUUCAAGUUUCUGCCCUAUCAGCUUUCGAUGGUAGUGUAUUGGACUACCAUG
rnacentral:rRNA from 1 species